UGGGGAAUAUUGCACAAUGGGCGAAAGCCUGAUGCAGCGACGCCGCGUGAGGGAUGACGGCCUUCGGGUUGUAAACCUCUUUCAGCAGGGACGAAGCGCAAGUGACGGUACCUGCAGAAGAAGCACCGGCUAACUACGUGCCAGCAGCCGCGGUAAUACGUAGGGUGCAAGCGUUGUCCGGAAUUACUGGGCGUAAAGAGUUCGUAGGCGGUUUGUCGCGUCGUUUGUGAAAGCCACAAGCUCAACUGCUGGCUUGCAGGCGAUACGGGCAGACUUGAGUACUGCAGGGGAGACUGGAAUUCCUGGUGUAGCGGUGAAAUGCGCAGAUAUCAGGAGGAACACCGGUGGCGAAGGCGGGUCUCUGGGCAGUAACUGACGCUGAGGAACGAAAGCGUGGGUAGCGAACAGG
rnacentral:rRNA from 1 species